rnacentral:rRNA from 1 species
AUUGAACGCUGGCGGCAGGCCUAACACAUGCAAGUCGAGCGGAGCGGCGGACGGGUGAGUAAUGCCUAGGAAUCUGCCUGGUAGUGGGGGAUAACGUCCGGAAACGGGCGCUAAUACCGCAUACUAUCAGAUGAGCCUAGGUCGGAUUAGCUAGUUGGUGGGGUAAAGGCCUACCAAGGCGACGAUCCGUAACUGGUCUGAGAGGAUGAUCAGUCACACUGGAACGGAGACAGGGUCCAGAAUCCGACGGGGGGCAGCAGGGGGGAAAUUUGGCAAAGGGGGGAAAGCCUGAUCCAGCCAGGCCGCGUGUGUGAAGAAGGUCUUCGGAUUGUAAAGAACUUUAAGUUGGGAGGCGUUACCAACAGAGUAAGCACCGGCUAACUUCGUGCCAGCAGCCGCGUAAUAC